UCCAGGCCCUAACGGGCGCAGCAGGCGCGAAACCUCUGCAAUAGGCGAAAGCUUGACAGGGUUACUCUGAGUGAUUUCCGUUAAGGAGAUCUUUUGGCACCUCUAAAAAUGGUGCAGAAUAAGGGGUGGGCAAGUCUGGUGUCAGCCGCCGCGGUAAUACCAGCACCCCGAGUGGUCGGGACGUUUAUUGGGCCUAAAGCAUCCGUAGCCGGUUCUACAAGUCUUCCGUUAAAUCCACCUGCUUAACAGAUGGGCUGCGGAAGAUACUAUAGAGCUAGGAGGCGGGAGAGGCAAGCGGUACUCGAUGGGUAGGGGUAAAAUCCGUUGAUCCAUUGAAGACCACCAGUGGCGAAGGCGGCUUGCCAGAACGCGCUCGACGGUGAGGGAUGAAAGCUGGGGGAGCAAACCGGAUUAGAUACCCGGGUAGUCCCAGCUGUAAACGAUGCAGACUCGGUGAUGAGUUGGCUUAUUGCUAACUCAGUGCCGCAGGGAAGCCGUUAAGUUUGCCGCCUGGGGAGUACGGUCGCAAGACUGAAACUUAAAGGAAUUGGCGGGGGAGCACCACAAGGGGUGAAGCCUGCGGUUCAAUUGGAGUCAACGCCGGAAAUCUUACCGGGGGCGACAGCAGAGUGAAGGUCAAGCUGAAGACUUUACCAGACAAGCUGAGAGGAGGUGCAUGGCCGUCGCCAGCUCGUGCCGUGAGGUGUCCUGUUAAGUCAGGUAACGAGCGAGACCCCUGCCUCUAGUUGCUACCAUUAUUCUCAGGAGUAGUGGAGCUAAUUAGAGGGACCGCCGUCGCUGAGACGGAGGAAGGUGGGGGCUACGGCAGGUCAGUAUGCCCCGAAACCCUCGGGCCACACGCGGGCUGCAAUGGUAAGGACAAUGAGUUUCGAUUCCGAAAGGAGGAGGCAAUCUCUAAACCUUACCACAGUUAUGAUUGAGGGCUGAAACUCGCCCUCAUGAAUAUGGAAUCCCUAGUAACCGCGUGUCACUAUCGCGCGGUGAAUACGUCCCUGCUCCUUGCACACAA
rnacentral:rRNA from 1 species